rnacentral:rRNA from 3 species
UGGGGAAUUUUGGACAAUGGGCGCAAGCCUGAUCCAGCCAUGCCGCGUGAGUGAAGAAGGCCUUCGGGUUGUAAAGCUCUUUCAGACGGAAAGAAAUCGCGCGCUCUAACAUAGCGCGUGGAUGACGGUACCGUAAGAAGAAGCACCGGCUAACUACGUGCCAGCAGCCGCGGUAAUACGUAGGGUGCGAGCGUUAAUCGGAAUUACUGGGCGUAAAGCGUGCGCAGGCGGUGAUGUAAGACAGAUGUGAAAUCCCCGGGCUCAACCUGGGAACUGCGUUUGUGACUGCAUCACUCGAGUACGGCAGAGGGAGGUGGAAUUCCACGUGUAGCAGUGAAAUGCGUAGAGAUGUGGAGGAACACCGAUGGCGAAGGCAGCCUCCUGGGCCAGUACUGACGCUCAUGCACGAAAGCGUGGGGAGCAAACAGG